ensembl:misc_RNA Metazoa_SRP Metazoan signal recognition particle RNA
GCCGGGCAUGGUGGCGCGUGUCUGUAGUCCCAGCUACUCGGGAGGCUGAGACAGGAGAAUUGCUUGAACCCAGGAGGUGGAGGUUGCAGUGAGCCGAGAUCGUGCCACUGCACACUCCAGCCUGGGCGACAGAGCAAGACUCCGUCUCAA